rfam:Pleurocapsa sp. PCC 7327, complete genome.
AUAUUCAUUUGGAUCGAGCCAAAGACAGCGGGUGCAACUUGCUUAAUAUCCUGCCGAGGUAGCUGCCAAAAAGUUUUACCGUACCCUCGAUAGAGAGGGUAAGCGGUAUGCAGGCAAUCAAAAAAACCCCGGCAAAUCAUGUAGGGGUUUUCUUUUUUGCCUA